rnacentral:rRNA from 1 species
AUUGAACGCUGGCGGCAGGCCUAACACAUGCAAGUCGAGCGGUAGAGAGAAGCUUGCUUCUCUUGAGAGCGGCGGACGGGUGAGUAAUGCCUAGGAAUCUGCCUGGUAGUGGGGGAUAACGUCCGGAAACGGACGCUAAUACCGCAUACGUCCUACGGGAGAAAGCAGGGGACCUUCGGGCCUUGCGCUAUCAGAUGAGCCUAGGUCGGAUUAGCUGGUUGGUGAGGUAAUGGCUCACCAAGGCGACGAUCCGUAACUGGUCUGAGAGGAUGAUCAGUCACACUGGAACUGAGACACGGUCCAGACUCCUACGGGAGGCAGCAGUGGGGAAUAUUGGACAAUGGGCGAAAGCCUGAUCCAGCCAUGCCGCGUGUGUGAAGAAGGUCUUCGGAUUGUAAAGCACUUUAAGUUGGGAGGAAGGGUUGUAGAUUAAUACUCUGCAAUUUUGACGUUACCGACAGAAUAAGCACCGGCUAACUCUGUGCCAGCAGCCGCCGUAA